rnacentral:rRNA from 1 species
GUCGUAACAAGGUUUCCGUAGGUGAACCUGCGGAAGGAUCAUUACCGAGAGAUCGAGAGAUCGUCCCACACCCGGUGACCCGUACACCCCGACUCGCGCAGCGGUCCGCCGCCGCGCCGUCCCCUGUACCCACCCCAAAACCCGAUAAAAAAAACCUGAAGGAGUGGGCCGCUGUGCUACAGCCGGCGGCCCAACCGAAGUAAACCAUUACAACUUUCAACAAUGGAUGUCUUGGUUCCCACAACGAUGAAGAACGCAGCGAAAUGCGAUACGUAGUGCGAAUCGCAGAAUUCAGUGAAUCAUCAAAUCUUUGAACGCAUGUUGCGCUCUCGUUUAUUCGGGAGCAUGCCUGUUUGAGUGUCGGUUCCCAACGUCCCCGUCCGGUGUGCCGGUGCUUGGGGGAGAGUGGGCAGUCACGCGGUUACCACGGGCCAGUGAGCUGGUCCGGCGUGUCGCCCUAAGAUGGCGGGCAUCCCUCGGCGAAGUCCCUCGGUGGCGUGGUAGGUUCCUCUUUGGGGACACGAUCGUUGUCGCAGGUGUUGACGCAGCCGGUUAGGGUAUGUCCCCUGAACAGACAUGGACCGUAGGGCGGCAGAGUCCGCCGGGUUCGAGCAAUGACCUCAAAUCAGACAAGGCUACCCGCUGAAUUUAAGCAUAUAACUAAGCGGAGGAAAAGAAACUAACAAGGAUUCCCCUAGUAACGGCGAGUGAAGCGGGAGGAGCUCAGUGUGUAAAUCUGCGCCAUCCGUGGCGCCGAAUUGUAGUCUUCGGGUUGGUCGUCCUCCGCAACCCCGGUCGAAUUCUCUUGGAACAGAGAGUCAGAGAGGGUGAGAACCCCGUUCGUGGCCGGAUGUUGCGGUUUCUGUGAUGGUCUUCUCUAGAGUCGGGUUGCUUGGGAGUGCAGCCCUAAACGGGAGGUAAAUGUCUCCUAAAGCUAAAUAUUGGUGGGAGACCGAUAGCGAACAAGUACCGUGAGGGAAAGAUGCAAAGAACUUUGAAAAGAGAGUUAAAAAGUGCCUGAAAUUGUUGGGAGGGAAGCCAGGGGCCGCAGUCUUCUCUGGCAUGUUUUCGGUCCCGCGAGGGUCUCUUAUGUGCCUGAGGCGGUCAACAUCGGUUCCCAGCGCAGGACAUGCCUCGGCUGCUGUGUUGGGGACCGAGGUGCUAGCGCACGCCUUGCAGCGAACCCCGGGUCUAUCUACGCCCGGGCCCUUCGACUUGUGCGCUUCUGAUGUUGACGUAAUGCUGUCCCUGGGCCCGUCUUGAAACACGGACCAAGGAGUCUAACAUAUACGCUAGUGUUUGGGUGUGAAACCCCAGCGCGUAGUGAAAGCAACCUGGUGCGAUCUUUGCAGCAUCGACCGACCAUUAGAUCUUUCUAGAGGUUUGAGUGUGAGCGUAUCUGUUGGGACCCGAAAGAUGGUGAACUAUGCGUGA